UAGUUUUUAGCUAGUUAUAUCUUUCCAUUAUAUUAUUGCUUCCCAGAGCCUCCACUCAAAAUAUUUGGUGCUUGACCACUCAACCAAAUUUAAUUGACGAAGUUGGCCAUUGCGACAUCAUAUGCCAAACAUUAUACUGUGUUUUUGUCGAGUAAGAAAGCACAAGCUAUUCAAUUUCCACAAGGAAAUUUGCUUCUAGAAUACCGAAGAAAACCAACCAAGGCAUCUAGUUAGAGGUGCUUAAAGUUAAACUGAACAUCUUGGAGUGAAGCCUCCACUCAAAAUAUUUGGUGCUUGACCACUCAACCGAAUUUAAUUGACGAAGUUGGCUAUUGCGACAUCAUAUGCCAAACAUUAUACUGUGUUUUUGUCGAGAAAAAAGCACAAGAGAAUUUACUUCCAGAAUACCGAAGAAAACCAACCAAGACGUCUAGUUAGAGGUGCUUAGAGUUUAACUGAAUACCUUGAAGUGAAGGUAAGAUGUGUUUGGGGUGUCGCCGGGUUUAGUCCUUGAUUCAAGCAUUGAAAGAACCAUGUAUUUUAUGUAUUUUAUUUCGAGCAUGUUGAGAGUGAUUUCACAGCUCAGGCUACCAUGCAAAUUAACGCCAUAGUGAGAUAUUUGUGAAGGAAAAACGUAGAUAAACCUUCAAACAGAGAAGAGAAAACGAACCAAAAAGAAACUAUACUAAAAAGAAUUAAAUAUACCACAACAAGAUAAAGAAAAGGGACAAAAUUCAGGAGAAAAUUAACAAACAACUCUACACAAACUGAAACCCGAGACCGAAAAUCAAUAAUAAAUAGAUACUGACAAUAAUAGUAAUAAAUUA